rnacentral:rRNA from 1 species
CCUACGAGCGGCAGCAGAGGGGAAUAUUGGACAAUGGGCGAAAGCCUGAUCCAGCCAUGCCGCGUGUGUGAAGAAGGCCUUCGGGUUGUAAAGCACUUUCAGUGGGGAAGAAAGCCUUGGGGCUAAUACCCUCGAGGAAGGACAUCACCCACAGAAGAAGCACCGGCUAACUCCGUGCCAGCAGCCGCGGUAAUACGGAGGGUGCGAGCGUUAAUCGGAAUUACUGGGCGUAAAGCGCGCGUAGGCGGUCUGAUAAGCCGGUUGUGAAAGCCCCGGGCUCAACCUGGGAACGGCAUCCGGAACUGUCAGGCUAGAGUGCAGGAGAGGAAGGUAGAAUUCCCGGUGUAGCGGUGAAAUGCGUAGAGAUCGGGAGGAAUACCAGUGGCGAAGGCGGCCUUCUGGACUGACACUGACGCUGAGGUGCGAAAGCGUGGGUAGCAAACAGGAUUAGAUACCCGUGUAGUC